rnacentral:rRNA from 1 species
CCUUACCUGGCCUUGACAUAGAAAGAACUUACUAGAGAUAGUUUGGUGCUAGCUUGCUAGAACUUUCAUACAGGUGCUGCACGGCUGUCGUCAGCUCGUGUCGUGAGAUGUUGGGUUAAGUCCCGCAACGAGCGCAACCCUCGUGUUUAGUUACUAACAGUUCGGCUGAGGACUCUAGACAGACUGCCUGGGUAACCAAAGGAAGGUGAGGACGACGUCAAGUCAUCAUGGCCCUUACGGCCAGGGCUACACACGUGCUACAAUGGGGUAUCCAAAGAGCCGCAAUACCGCGAGGUGGAGCAAAUCUCAUAAAAUAUCUCCCAGUUCGGAUUGAAGUCUGCAACUCGACUUCAUGAAGUUGGAAUCGCUAGUAAUCGUGAAUCAGCAAUGUCACGGUGAAUACGUUCCCGGGUACUUGUACUCACCGCC